GAUGAACGCUGGCGGCGUGCCUAGUACAUGCAAGUCGAGCGAACGGACGAGAAGCUUGCUUCUCUGAUGUUAGCGGCGGACGGGUGAGUAACACGUGGAUAACCUACCUAUAAGACUGGGAUAACUUCGGGAAACCGGAGCUAAUACCGGAUAAUAUUUUGAACCGCAUGGUUCAAAAGUGAAAGACGGUCUUGCUGUCACUUAUAGAUGGAUCCGCGCUGCAUUAGCUAGUUGGUAAGGUAACGGCUUACCAAGGCAACGAUGCAUAGCCGACCUGAGAGGGUGAUCGGCCACACGGGAACUGAGACACGGUCCAGACUCCUACGGGAGGCAGCAGUAGGGAAUCUUCCGCAAUGGGCGAAAGCCUGACGGAGCAACGCCGCGUGAGUGAUGAAGGUCUUCGGAUCGUAAAACUCUGUUAUUAGGGAAGAACAUAUGUGUAAGUAACUGUGCACAUCUUGACGGUACCUAAUCAGAAAGCCACGGCUAACUACGUG
rnacentral:rRNA from 1 species